GAUGAACGCUGGCGGCGUGCCUAAUACAUGCAAGUCGAGCGAACAGACGAGGAGCUUGCUCCUCUGACGUUAGCGGCGGACGGGUGAGUAACACGUGGAUAACCUACCUAUAAGACUGGGAUAACUUCGGGAAACCGGAGCUAAUACCGGAUAACAUGUUGAACCGCAUUGUUCAACAGUGAAAGACGGUCUUGCUGUCACGUAUAGAUGGAUCCGCGCCGCAUUAGCUAGUUGGUAAGGUAACGACUUACCAAGGCAACGAUGCGUAGCCGACCUGAGAGGGUGCUCGGCCACGCUGGACCUGAGACGCGCUCCCGACUCCUCCGGGAGGCAGCAGUAGGCAAUCUUCCGCAAUGCGCGAAAGCCUGACGGAGCAACGCCGCGUGAGUGAAGAAGGUCUUCGGAUCGUAAAUCUCUGUUAUUAGAGAAGCACAAAUGUGUAAGUAACUAUGCACGUCUUGACGGUACCUAAUCAGAAAGACACGGCUAACUACGU
rnacentral:rRNA from 1 species